rnacentral:rRNA from 1 species
AUGAACGCUGGCGGCGUGCCUAAUCCCUGCAAGUCGAGCGAACAGACGAGGAGCUUGCUCCUCUGACGUUAGCGGCGGACGGGUGAGUAACACGUGGAUAACCUACCUAUAAGACUGGGAUAACUUCGGGAAACCGGAGCUAAUACCGGAUAACAUGUUGAACCGCAUGGUUCAACAGUGAAAGACGGUCUUGCUGUCACUUAUAGAUGGAUCCGCGCCGCAUUAGCUAGUUGGUAAGGUAACGGCUUACCAAGGCAACGAUGCGUAGCCGACCUGAGAGGGUGAUCGGCCACACUGGAACUGAGACACGGUCCAGACUCCUACGGGAGGCAGCAGUAGGGAAUCUUCCGCAAUGGGCGAAAGCCUGACGGAGCAACGCCGCGUGAGUGAAGAAGGUCUUCGGAUCGUAAAACUCUGUUAUUAGGGAAGAACAAAUGUGUAAGUAACUAUGCACGUCUUGACGGUACCUAAUCAGAAAGCCACGGCUAACUACGUG